rnacentral:lncRNA from 10 species
UACGUUGGGAGUAGUGAAAACAAGGGAAAACGGGCUCUGGAAUAGGAUGUAAGAGUGGAAAACUAGAUAUGAAUAGAGGGAUCUGAAACGUAGGGUUUGGGUACAAUUAUGUCACGUUUAAUUUGCCAAAGAGAUCUGGUUUUUCCUACUAAGUAAAUUUCACCAAAUGAACAGUUUGGACAGCCAUCUUAUCCAAACUAUUCAAAUGCACAUGUAAAUCUAGGAUAGUCUAUCGUGGAACCUAAGGUAUGUUCAGGCUCAGGAUGUCAGAUUUCCAAGUUGCUAAAGCUUCCAGAAUGGCAAAAUAAUAUAUCUCGCUUUCAGCAGCUGUGGCAGCCACUGCCCUCUCAUAUUAGGUUUGUCUCUCUGUUAAAUUAAGUUGCCUGUCUUGCUUCCCUUCAUUAAAGGGUUUUCAGUUACUUGGAAUGCUGCUGACCCAGCUGAUAUGGCCCCGCUUCUAAGCCAUAAGUCUGGCUGCGCCUCAUGCCAAGCAUGCGGAUGCAUUUAGAGAGCACCUAGAGGAUCCCAGCCCUGCAAAUGCCCAGACACCUGCAGGAAAUAGAAAUGUAGUUCUGGGGGUGAGGGCAGCUACAGCCAUAAAAAGGGCAUUUAGGUUGAGAAAAGAGGGAUGUGGGCAGUAAAUUAGACUCUAAUAGUAAAGAGUCUAGUAAAUAGUAAAUAGACUCUAAUAUAAAUGUGGCUCUAAAUCAGAAAGUUUCUCCUCUCUUCUCUGGCUCAAAGUAGAUGUUCUAUAGCUUUAGCUCAUGGAAUAGCGUAAGCAUGGAGAUCCAGUGAGUGCUGUAAGAUUUAUUUGCAACGUACUAGUUUGGAUGUAAGUGCAAUGGUAAACGUUGCUUUGCAAUAAUUAAUAGAAUUUACUGCCAAACUUUAACAGUUAUCAGCCAUGUAUCCUAGAAAAAAAGCAUGUCAUUCAACUCUCUAAAGCCUCCAUUUCCAAAUCUGUAAAAAGGGAGAUAAUAGUAGGUCCCUUUCUACUCCAUAGAGAUGCUGGAAUGGUCGGGUGAGAAAAGGCGAGGGCAAGUGUUGCCCCAUGAACAACAUUCAUUAAGGGGUUACUGUGUAUUAAGCACUGUAGAGCACAUUGUAAAUUGUCAAUAUUAGUUAUGGUGAUAAACUCUAAAUAAAUUAUCUGAGAAUUGGGAUCAAAUUUUUACCUAUUUCCCGAGGAUGUUGAAAGACUGAUUCAAGAAAAAAGAGGGGAAUUAACAUUUACAGAGCUCUUUCUAGAUUAGAACUUACGGUUUCCAUUGCUAUAUGUUUCUCAUGACAACUGUAUGCAAUAUAUUUUGUUGUAACCGUUUUAUAGAUGAAAAAUCUGAUAUCAAUAGUGGUGGUAAUGGCCAUGUUGCCACCGCUGGGUAGUGUCAGGGGCAGCAUUUGGAUCCAGGUUCGUGAGUUCAGAAGUUCACGAGCAUCCUCCCCUGCGAUGCUGCCUCUAGAGGAGAAAGAGGGAAGAGGCUUUGAAUAAAUCAGAGCAGAAG